rnacentral:lncRNA from 1 species
UAGGGACAUCAGAACUUGAGGCGUGACAUUCCUCAAGUUUUUUGGAUUUUGUUUUUGCCUCAUAUCUCAUACUCGGAGAUUUUGGUUUUGCCUCAUAUAUCUCGUACUUGGAGUUGAAAAAAACUGGUAACUCAGAAACACCAAUGGGUACAGACAAAAUAAAAGCCCCAACAAAAGCGUACGCUCUUUAGCCAAAGGACUAGGAAGCCUAGUAACAAGGAAAACUUGUAGACAAUAGCUAAGCUCUCUACUCUAGCCAGACACCAGACACACACACAAAUUGUGGUCCUACUCCUACCCACUCCCAACCAAGUAGGGAGCAUAGAUUUCUACCUUCAUGAAGCUUUAAUGAGGCACAUCAACACUUCUGCCAGGGGUCUCCACCAAGAUCAUAUCAGAGAAGGCAAAGUACCAAGCUGGAACUUUUUUUAAAAUUUUAUUUUUAUAGAGAUGAGGUCUCACUAUGUUGUCCAGGUUGGUCUCAAACUCCUGAGCUCAAGUGAUCCUCCUGCCUCGGCCUCCCAAAGUGCUAGGAUUACAGGUGUGAGCUGCCAUGCCCAGGCUGAAGCUGGAACUUUCAUCCCCACUGGCCACAAUGAUCCAACCCACUCCUAUCCCACUGUAACAGGAAAGGCCAUCUGGGGAGCCUGGACUUCUGUUUGUCUCUGACAGUUAACAGUUAUGAAGGUGAGUAGGGAACCUGGACUUCUACAUCCAUUUGGCAAUAAUGAGGCAAUAACACCCCCCUCCCCUGCCUGAAACCUCGAAACAUCAGGAAGGAAGAAAGAACACAAUAAGCAAAACUAUGGGAAAACAAUCAAAAGAAAGCAAGAGUGACUAUUUUAAUAUAAGAUAAAGUAGACUACAUUGCAAAGAAAAGUUCUAGGGAUAAAGAGGAAGAUUAUAUAGUGAUAAAAGUAUCAAUUCACCAAGAACACAUAGCAAUUCUAAAUGCAUAUGGACCAAAGUACUGCAAAAUGUGUGAAACAAAAACCGAUAUAACUGAAAGGAGGAUUAGACAAAUCCAUAACUAUAGUUAAGUACUUCAACAUCCCUCUCUCAAUAAUUGAUAUAACAACUAGAUGGAAAAUCCACAAGGGUAUCAGGACUCAGCAAAAUAAUCAAAGAAUAGGAUCCAACAAGAGCAAAAUACACAUUCUUUUUAAACACACAAUGCAUACCAAGAUAGACUACAUCGUGGGUCAUUAAACAAACCUCAAAAAAUUAUUAAAAAUUUGAAUCAUAUAGAGCAUGCCCUCCAACCACAAUGGAAUAAAACGAGAAUUCAGUAACAGAAAAGUAAUAGGAAAAUCUCCAAAGACUUGAAAACUAAACAACACACUGCU